rnacentral:rRNA from 1 species
UAGCCGUAAACGAUACUCGCUAGGUGUCGGCCACGGUGCGACCGUUGUCGGUGCCGUAGGGAAGCCGUGAAGCGAGCCACCUGGGAAGUACGGCCGCAAGGCUGAAACUUAAAGGAAUUGGCGGGGGAGCACAACAACGGGUGGAGCUUGCGGUUUAAUUGGAUUCAACGCCGGAAAUCUUACCGGGACCGACAGCAACAUGAAGGCCAAGCUGAAGACUUUGCCGGAUUAGCUGAGAGGAGGUGCAUGGCGUAGACGUCU